rnacentral:rRNA from 1 species
AGCAGCCGCGGUAAUUCCAGCUCCAAUAGCGUAUAUUAAAGUUGUUGCAGUUAAAAAGCUCGUAGUUGAAUUUCGGGAUUGGCGCAUCGGUCGUGCCUCACGGGGUAUGAACUGGUGCAGUCAAUUUCUCACCUUCUGGAGAACCGCGAUGUCCUUAAUUGGGUGCCGUGGGGAACCAGGACCUUUACUUUGAAAAAAUUAGAGUGUUUAAAGCAGGCAUUUUUGCUUGAAUACAUUAGCAUGGAAUAAUAAAAUAGGACGGCAUGGUUCUAUUUUGUUGGUUUCUAGGACCACCGUAAUGAUUAAUAGGGAUAGUUGGGGGCAUUAGUAUUCAAUUGUCAGAGGUGAAAUUCUUGGAUUUAUUGAAGACUAACUACUGCGAAAGCAUUUGCCAAGGAUGUUUUCAUUAAUCAAGAACGAAAGUUAGGGGAUCGAAGACGAUCAGAUACCGUCGUAGUCUUAACCAUAAACCUAUGCCGACUAGGAAUCAGACGAUGUUAAUUUUUUAAUGACUCGUUUG